rnacentral:rRNA from 1 species
AACGUAGGUCACAAGCGUUGUCCGGAAUUACUGGGUGUAAAGGGAGCGCAGGCGGGAAGACAAGUUGGAAGUGAAAUCUAUGGGCUCAACCCAUAAACUGCUUUCAAAACUGUUUUUCUUGAGUAGUGCAGAGGUAGGCGGAAUUCCCGGUGUAGCGGUGGAAUGCGCAGAUAUCGGGAGGAACACCAGUGGCGAAGGCGGCCUACUGGGCACCAACUGACGCUGAGGCUCGAAAGUGUGGGUAGCAAACAGG